GAUAUCAGUUUUCCUAAUCAGAAAUAGAUCUGAUGGUCAGAGUUGCACUUGUACAUAGUUUGUUUUCCCUAUUUUUAGUUCUUGGGAUGCUCCUGAGGUGUUCUUGUGAUUCUCAGGUCAUUAAAUGUUGUUUGUGCUAAUCUUUAUUUGGAGUGUUUAUUUUCCUUCUAUUUAGUUCUUGGGAUGUUCCUGGGCUGUCCUUGUGAUUCUCAGGUCAUUAAAGUUUGUUUGUUCUAAUCUUUAUUUGGAGUAAAAGAUAUUUUGGUAAUAAAGAUUUAUACUCAGGUUUAUUUGAUAGUGUGUUUACUGAGUGUCCGCAUAAUGUGUGGCAGUUAGGUGGAGCCACUGGUGUGUAGUUAGUGAAGAUGCAAAUGAUUUUGCACAGUUAAGAUAAUACAAUACCUUUUCCAUUCUUGGCUUUGUGACAUACACUUUUUGUUUCACCGUGACAGCAUUAUAUCAGUGUUAUUGGCCUCCAGAUCCCAGCUUCUGGUGCCAAUUGAUCAGUGAAGUACCCAUGUGAUUGUCUGGAGAGAUCUUGACUAUUCAUGGAUUGCAACAGUGUAACCAAUAAUAUUGAGAGUGAAGCCCAUUUCCUUAUUGUUCAUGGUUUGAAAUCUUUUAAUGCGAUAUGUCAAGAACUUUUGCAACCUCUUUCUUGCUUUGCACCCAACCAUAUUAGUGCCCAGGUGCCUUCUCCUUUCUUGUAAGCAUCCCUAAGCCCUCUUCCCUCGAAUUAUUGUUGUGAUUGAUAGGUUGUUAAUUGAUCAACUGUUGCACGAUCA